rnacentral:rRNA from 1 species
CCUACGGGAGGCAGCAGUGAGGAAUAUUGGUCAAUGGACGAGAGUCUGAACCAGCCAAGUAGCGUGAAGGAUGACUGCCCUAUGGGUUGUAAACUUCUUUUAUAUGGGAAUAAAACGUUCCACGUGUGGGCUUUUGUAUGUACCAUAUGAAUAAGGAUCGGCUAACUCCGUGCCAGCAGCCGCGGUAAUACGGAGGAUCCGAGCGUUAUCCGGAUUUAUUGGGUUUAAAGGGAGCGUAGGUGGAUUGUUAAGUCAGUUGUGAAAGUUUGCGGCUCAACCGUAAAAUUGCAGUUGAAACUGGCAGUCUUGAGUACAGUAGAGGUGAGCGGAAUUCGUGGUGUAGCGGUGAAAUGCUUAGAUAUCACGAAGAACUCCGAUUGCGAAGGCAGCUCACUGGACUGCAACUGACACUGAGGCUCGAAAGUGUGGGUAUCAAACAGGAUUAGAGACCCGUGUAGUC